CAAUAGCGUAUAUUAAAGUUGUUGCAGUUAAAAAGCUCGUAGUUGAAUUUCUGUCAGGAGUGACCGGGCCUUUGGAUGAACUUCCAUUGUUUUUGCUCUGUUUGUCAUCUCUAGACAUCCUAAAUUACAUUUCUUGUAAUUUUCUUUUACUGUUAGCAAAAUAGAGUGUUCCAAGCAAAGCGUAGUUUUGAAUACAUUAGAAUGGAAUAAUAAGAUAGGACUUUGGUGCUAUUUUGUUGGUUUGCACACCAAGGUAAUGAUUAAUAGGGACAGUUGGGGGUAUUCGUAUUUAAUUGUCAGAGGUGAAAUUCUUGGAUUUAUGAAAGACGAACUACUGCGAAAGCAUUUACCAAGGAUGUUUUCAUUAA
rnacentral:rRNA from 1 species